GAAAAGUUGGUAAAAAUGAGGUAUGGUGCCCAAAAGUGGCACCUGCUACUUAUAGACAAGUGCAGAACUGUCAUGUUCGCUAGGCGAGCAUAAUAGCUCGCCUAGCGAGGUCCUAAAAUGGGCACAAAAAGCCCCUGCGCCCAGAGCAAACAGGGCCUGCUAAACUGUCAUGUUCGCCUAGCGAACAUACCUUCGCCUAGCGAAGGAAACGCUUCAAGCUCGCCCCCAGCGAGGUUGAG
rnacentral:lncRNA from 1 species